rnacentral:rRNA from 1 species
UACGUAGGGUGCGAGCGUUAAUCGGAAUUACUGGGCGUAAAGCGUGCGCAGGCGGUGAUGUAAGACCGAUGUGAAAUCCCCGGGCUUAACCUGGGAACUGCAUUGGUGACUGCAUCGCUCGAGUAUGGCAGAGGGGGGUAGAAUUCCACGUGUAGCAGUGAAAUGCGUAGAGAUGUGGAGGAAUACCGAUGGCGAAGGCAGCCCCCUGGGCCAAUACUGACGCUCAUGCACGAAAGCGUGGGGAGCAAACAGG